AGUCGAACGAUGAACCACUUCGGUGGGGAUUAGUGGCGAACGGGUGAGUAACACGUGGGCAAUCUGCCCUUCACUCUGGGACAAGCCCUGGAAACGGGGUCUAAUACCGGAUAGCACCUCCACUCGCAUGGGUGGGGGUUGAAAGCUCCGGCGGUGAAGGAUGAGCCCGCGGCCUAUCAGCUUGUUGGUGAGGUAGUGGCUCACCAAGGCGACGACGGGUAGCCGGCCUGAGAGGGCGACCGGCCACACUGGGACUGAGACACGGCCCAGACUCCUACGGGAGGCAGCAGUGGGGAAUAUUGCACAAUGGGCGAAAGCCUGAUGCAGCGACGCCGCGUGAGGGAUGACGGCCUUCGGGUUGUAAACCUCUUUCAGCAGGGAAGAAGCGAAAGUGACGGUACCUGCAGAAGAAGCGCCGGCUAACUACGUGCCAGCAGCCGCGGUAAUACGUAGGGCGCAAGCGUUGUCCGGAAUUAUUGGGCGUAAAGAGCUCGUAGGCGGCUUGUCACGUCGGGUGUGAAAGCCCGGGGCUUAACCCCGGGUCUGCAUUCGAUACGGACUAGCUAGAGUGUGGUANGGGGANAUUCNGAAAUUCCUGGUGUUANCGGGUGAAAUGCGCAAAUUUCAGGANGAACACCGGUUGGCGAANGCGGAUCUCUGGGCCAUUACUGACGCUUANGAGCGAAAGCGUGGGGAGCGAACAGGAUUAGAUACCCUGGUAGUCCACGCCGUAAACGGUGGGAACUAGGUGUUGGCGACAUUCCACGUCGUCGGUGCCGCAGCUAACGCAUUAAGUUCCCCGCCUGGGGGAGUUCGGCCGCAAGGCU
rnacentral:rRNA from 1 species